rnacentral:rRNA from 1 species
AGACAACCGGGAUUGCCCUAGUAACGGCGAGUGAAGCGGCAAGAGCUCAAAUUUGAAAGCUGGCUCCUUCGGGGUCCGCAUUGUAAUUUGCAGAGGAUGCUUCGGGAGCGGUCCCCAUCUAAGUGCCCUGGAACGGGCCGUCAUAGAGGGUGAGAAUCCCGUCUGGGAUGGGGUGCCCGCGCCCGUGUGAAGCUCCUUCGACGAGUCGAGUUGUUUGGGAAUGCAGCUCUAAUUGGGUGGUAAAUUUCAUCUAAAGCUAAAUAUUGGCCGGAGACCGAUAGCGCACAAGUAGAGUGAUCGAAAGAUGAAAAGCACUUUGAAAAGAGAGUUAAACAGCACGUGAAAUUGUUGAAAGGGAAGCGCUUGCGAUCAGACUCGCCCGCGGGGUUCAGCCGGCAUUCGUGCCGGUGUACUUCCCCGUGGGCGGGCCAGCGUCGGUUUGGGCGGCCGGUCAAAGGCCCCUGGAAUGUAACGCCUCUCGGGGCGUCUUAUAGCCAGGGGUGCCAUGCGGCCUGCCCGGACCGAGGAACGCGCUUCGGCUCGGACGCUGGCAUAAUGGUCGUAAGCGACCCGUCUUGAAACACGGACCAAGGAGUCUAACAUCUACGCGAGUGUUCGGGUGUCAAACCCGUGCGCGCAGUGAAAGCGAACGGAGGUGGGAACCCCCCGGGGUGCACCAUCGACCGAUCCUGAUGUCUUCGGAUGGAUUUGAGUAAGAGCGUAGCUGUUGGGACCCGAAAGAUGGUGAACUAUGCCUGAAUAGGGCGAAGCCAGAGGAAACUCUGGUGGAGGCUCGCAGCGGUUCUGACGUGCAAAUCGAUCGUCAAAUUUGGGUAUAGGGGCGAAAGACUAAUCGAACCAUCUAGUAGCUGGUUCCUGCCGAUUU